UAAGCAAAAGCCAAUUUUGGGCGCCUAACUGUUAAUUAGGAAGCUGUAAUACUUAUUUUACUUGCUUAG
rnacentral:tRNA from 1 species